rnacentral:rRNA from 1 species
AACGAACGCUGGCGGCAGGCUUAACACAUGCAAGUCGAGCGCCCCGCAAGGGGAGCGGCAGACGGGUGAGUAACGCGUGGGAAUCUACCCAUCUCUACGGAAUAACGCAUGGAAACGUGUGCUAAUACCGUAUACGUCCUUCGGGAGAAAGAUUUAUCGGAGAUGGAUGAGCCCGCGUUGGAUUAGCUAGUUGGUGGGGCAGAGGCCUACCAAGGCGACGAUCCAUAGCUGGUCUGAGAGGAUGAUCAGCCACACUGGGACUGAGACACGGCCCAGACUCCUACGGGAGGCAGCAGUGGGGAAUAUUGGACAAUGGGCGCAAGCCUGAUCCAGCCAUGCCGCGUGAGUGAUGAAGGCCCUAGGGUUGUAAAGCUCUUUCACCGGUGAAGAUAAUGACGGUAACCGGAGAAGAAGCCCCGGCUAACUUCGUGCCAGCCGCCGCCGUAAGAC